rnacentral:rRNA from 1 species
CGGGUGAGUAUCACGUGAGAAACCUGCCCCGAAGACCGGGAUAGCCCGGGGAAACCCGGAUUAAUACCGGAUAUUCCCUACAGAUCGCAUGGUCUGUUGAGGAAAUGCCUUUGUGCUUCGGGAUGGUCUCGCGACCUAUCAGCUAGUUGGUGAGGUAAUGGCUCACCAAGGCAACGACGGGUAGCUGGUCUGAGAGGACGAUCAGCCACACUGGGACUGAGACACGGCCCAG